AACGAACGCUGGCGGCAUGCCUAACACAUGCAAGUCGAACGAGACCUUCGGGUCUAGUGGCGCACGGGUGCGUACCGCGUGGGAACCUGCCCUUAGGUUCGGAAUAACUCCCCGAAAGGGGUGCUAAUACCGGAUAAUGUCUUCGGACCAAAGAUUUAUCGCCUUUGGAUGGGCCCGCGUUGGAUUAGCUAGUUGGUAGGGUAAAAGCCUACCAAGGCGACGAUCCAUAGCUGGUCUGAGAGGAUGAUCAGCCACACUGGGACUGAGACACGGCCCAGACUCCUACGGGAGGCAGCAGUGGGGAAUAUUGGACAAUGGGCGAAAGCCUGAUCCAGCAAUGCCGCGUGAGUGAUGAAGGCCUUAGGGUUGUAAAGCUCUUUUACCCGGGAUGAGAAUGACAGUAACGGGAGAAUAAGCUCCGGCUAACUCCGUG
rnacentral:rRNA from 1 species